UAGCUGGAUUUUCUCGCUUUGUUUUUGUUUCAAAGAAUUAUUACAAACAGAAUACAGAAAGAACAAAAAGUAGUCUUCAAUCUUGGUCAAUAUGGCUUCUCACAAUUCUGGAUAUUCAAAGAUUUGUUUAUGAGAAUCCUUGUCUUUCAAGAUCACUUUUCCAGCUAUCUUUUUGAUUGUUGAUAAUCCUCUUUUUCUCUUUGAUCUGAAAAAGUAAUCUCAAUGUAUUAACCAAGUGUUAUUGUGUAUCAAGAAUAUUCAAUGUAUAUUUCAGAUUGAUAUCAUUGUUAUUAUCAUUCAUGUUAUUGAAAGACAGAUUGAAGACAGUUUAUAUAGUUUCUGAAAAACACAUUAAU
rnacentral:lncRNA from 1 species